rnacentral:rRNA from 1 species
CAAUAGCGUAUAUUAAAGUUGUUGCAGUUAGAACGCUCGUAGUCGGAUUUCGGGGCGGGCCGACCGGUCUGCCGAUGGGUAUGCAUUGGUCGGCGCGUCCUUCCUUCCGGAGACCGUCCCUACUCUUAACUGAGCGGGGGCGGGAGACGGGACUUUUACUUUGAAAAAAUCAGAGUGUUUCAAGCAGGCAGCUCGCUCUUGCAUGGAUUAGCAUGGGAUAAUGAAAUAGGACUUUGGUGCUAUUUUGUUGGUUUCGAACACCGAAGUAAUGAUGAGAAGGGACAGUCAGGGGCACUCGUAUUCCGCCGAGAGAGGUGAAAUUCUCAGACCAGCGGAAGACGAACCACUGCGAAAGCAUUUGCCAGGGAUGUUUUCACUGA